GUCCGCACCGUAAACGAUGAUUACUCGUUGUUGGCAAUAUGACCGUCAGCGACCAAGCGAAAGCGAUAAGUAAUCCACCUGGGGAGUACGCCGGCAACGGUGAAACUCAAAGGAAUUGACGGGGGCCCCGCACAAGCGGAGGAGCAUGUGGUUUAAUUCGAUGAUACGCGAGGAACCUUACCUGGGCUUGAAAGUUAGCGACCGGUCCUGAAAGGGAUCUUCCAGCAAUGGCGCGAAACUAGGUGCUGCAUGGCUGUCGU
rnacentral:rRNA from 1 species